UGAAGCAUUCAAUACGCUUCAUAUCAGUCACACUGAAUCUCCGUCUCAUAAUAGAAACCUCGAAUAAAAAUUGUGCUAUAUUCCAUUGUUACUAUUUUUCGAUUUUUGCGCUUCGAUAGCUUUUCAAGCACUUCCUUGGAAAUGUCGAGAGAUAAUAUAGCCAAGCAAAGCAUAUUACCUGAGAGGCAAUCCAAAAUAAACUUAAUGAUGAAACAAGAAGAACAUGGCCUUGAAGAACAACUUUACUGCAUCUGCCGUAGCUCAGAUGCCAGCAGAUUUAUGAUAGGCUGUGACUACUGUGAGGAAUGGUACCAUGGGGAUUGCAUAGAUAUUACCGAGGAGGAAUCCCGCUUCAUCAAAAAGUUUUUCUGUCCAAAAUGCAGACAAAGGGAUCCUAGCUUAACUAUCAAAUACAAACAGAAAAAACUGGAACAGGUAGGGAAGGAAGAAUCAGCGAAGAAAGCAAAAAAACGGCAUGAAAAAAAAGAAUCGGCUCCAAAAUACCCUCAUUGUGGCGAAUGCAUUGCUUGUUAUCGUGUAGAUAACUGCAAUAAGUGUGACUCUUGUCGAGGAAAACCACGUCAACAGUGUCAGUACAGAGUCUGUCUCACUUUUGUACCCAAGAAAAAGGUUGAGGCAGUAGCAGAAGAAGAGGAAAUUCCAAUAAAACCGGUUUUGAAUGAAAAGAACUAUUCCGAUGAUGAUGUAUGGGAGCCGAAUCUGCGAAAAGAAAAACCUCCUGUUCCAGCUAGUAAACCAUCCCGGCAUUCGACAAACAAAAAAGAAAAGGCAAAAGGAAAACAUCGUUCCUCUGCUACUUCUGGGGAUCACCGUCGCCGGAAGAGAAUCACCUCGUCUACAGAUUCGGGAGGGGAAAGCGAGAUAGAAAAAUCUCCAGCACGGAACAAACAAAAGGUCAUCCAUUGUUACGGACCGCAAUGUAUAAAUGCAUCGCGUCCGGGAAGCAAAUACUGCAGUGACCAAUGUGGGCUAAAAUUGGCAACAACACGUAUAUACCAGAUUUUGCCUCAACGCAUUCAAGAAUGGGGCUUAACCCCUUGCAUAGCUGAAGAAAAGAAUAAAAAAGAACUAGAACUAAUUCGUAAACAGCAAAACGAAGCACGGGAGGCUCUGGAAGAGUUGGAUGUUAAACAAAAGGAACUGGAUAUAACUACAGCAAAGGCAAAAAAAUUUACGGUUGACAUAAACUCUGACGACGAAGCAGAUGAGCCAGGCGAUAGCGAAACGGAAUCCGCUACUGUCCAGUGCGUCACAUGUGGAAUCGGUCUUACAGUUCGAAAUGCGAUUCGGCACAUGGAACGUUGUUUCAACAAGUACGAGAGUCAAACAUCCUUCGGUUCGAUUUUUCAGACCAAGAUCGAAGGCAACAACAUGUUUUGUGAUUUUUAUAAUCCCAGUAAUCGGACUUACUGUAAACGACUUCGUGUUCUGUGCCCGGAACAUUGUAAAGACCCCAAGGUCAAUGACACUGAUGUAUGCGGGUAUCCUUUAGUGCGGGAAGUCUUUGAAGAGACUGGAGAAUUCUGUCUUAUUCAAAAAAAGAAAUGUGUGAAGCACAACAACUGGGAGAAACUGCGAAGAGCCGAAAUCGAUAUGGAAAGAGUGCGCCAAUGGUUAAAGCUCGACGAGUUAUUUGAAAAAGAACGACAAAUUCGAACCGCCAUGGCUCAGCGGGCAGGACUUUUACCACUUAUACUUCAUUCAACUUUCAAUCAUGAAUUGAUGCAGCAACAGUACUCCGGACACCCUGGAUCGACUGCAGAAAGCGGCGAGACCAUAGCGAUCAAUAAAAACGCCAUUAAAGAAGAGGAUACUUGUUGUGGAUAAUAACCAACAGCACGUCACAGUUCCAGGAUACCGAAAAGUUCUACUGUGUUUUUGACAUACUGCUUCAGUGAACUUAGAACAGGAAAGCACCACCCACAGCCUAUAGCUGAAAGCUAAAUUGGCUAUGGCUUGGACCACCGAUGAGGCCGGUUUCCAACCCAAUGGUGACCACUUGCCCGUUGCCCCCGUCCAUCAAUAUGAGCUCCUUGUACCUCCUACUUCUCGCACUGGAAACUGGAUACUGAUUCCUCCGUUACUGUAAGUUGAAGAAACUAAGAAGCUCUAUUCAAGACAGGAAUACUAUGAAUUGUAACUUAUCAAUAUCAAAAUAUAUCUUAAGGUUUUUCAUGGUCGGGUUAGUUUGGUGCGCCAGUUCAAAAUGCCAAAUAUUGUUAUUUAUGAAAUUGAGGGGCAUUCGUUUUUAUUGUUUGGUUUUGCUGAAUUUGUCAGGCUUCCGUCGUUUAGAUGAUUCAACACAAGCCACCAAACCGCUGUAAUUAUUUAUCUUCUCUAUCCAGUUACAUUAGAGCCCGAGGGGUUAUUUUACCUAUGGAUAUGGCGAUUUCUUAAGGAAUACGCCACGCAUCAUUGGUCUAUCUUUGGUAAAGAUGUGCUCACUUGAUUCAACCUUUGUAGAUAAAGUAAUCGCCAGUUGUUGAAACCUAGAAAUUCGCCAUAUUUCCAUGUUCCAAUGAAUGAUGUAGAGCAGUUUCGACUACUUAACUUCUCAACGCAUUGAACCAAGAAAGAAUCGAAGGAUGUUAUCUUAACCGACGAGCUCUUUUCAUUAUAUGACAAUAAACUUUACUCAUUGGAAAUGCGUGAUUAGCAUAGCCCUAACUAAAGCCAUGUAGUAUGUGCGGCUAUUUAUAUGCAGAAACAAAAGAUUGGGUACGUAUGUGAAGAGCCGCAAUCGACCACUUUGUUAAAGUUGGAAUUCAAUUGCUAUUUUUUUCGUAGAAAUAUCAGGUUUUUUAAUUUAAAAAAAAGCCGGACUUAAAAACAAACUUCGACAAGAUAAGCCCGGAUCAUUGGAAUUUGUUUAUUCCCAUUUACUAUUUGGUUAUAAACAAAAAAACUAGAUGGCGUUAGCGCGCCUCUAUUUCUUGUGUGCUUACGUAUGACCUGAUGUGACAAGUGAAACCUGCGUUAAAAGUUAUUGUUAACUGUGUUAUAUUACGAUGGAAAACUAUGUAAAACUAGCAACUAUGAAGUGCUUUCACUCUGUGUAUGUUUUGGAAGAAAAGAAAAUCAAAUGGAUCAUAGUUUAUGUAAUGGGCAAAACUUGCUGUCACCUAUGGAAGAUGCCAAAUAAAAAAAAUCAUAGAUUGCACUGUUAGCAACCUAUGACCUGAGCAUUCCAUCUUGCUACUCCGUUGCUUGUUAAAAGAUCUACCUCGGGACACAGGCAAUUCAGAAGACACCAACUUCAAGGAAGGUCACCAGCAAUGAAAAUUCUUCAGAUAGAACAUCAUUGUCUCACUCUACAACUCUUUGUGCAGUCCACAUCAUGAGUUAGUUUUAAUUGGAUGAGUGCAGCAUACUCCUCUAUGUUUUCCGAUUAACCAUCAUCAGCCAACACACCUAGACAUGGACCUCAAAACUAUUUCUUACUGGACUGCCAAGUCUUCAUCUUUUUCAGCAAAAUAUCUGGCCCUACAAUUUUCACAAUCUUCAGACAACAAACAAUCAAGUGAUCUUCAUUUUUUGUCCCACGCAAAAUUUAAAAUCAACAUUGUAAGUUUUGCUGCUUCUUCGCUUCAUCAUCCGUCUUUAUCUCGCUUUGCGCUGCAUCUUCGCCUCGUCUUCAUCCCGUCAUCGCAUCGUCCGUCACCCCAUUUUCGUCUUGCCCGCCGCCCCGUCAUCACUUCGCCCGUCGCCUCGCCCCGCCAUCGCCUCGUUCGCCGCCGUGUCAUCGCCUCGUGGUCGCCUCGUGGUAUCGUUUUGUUUUUGUUUGUAUUAUGUAUGUUAACCAACCCAUUGGCUGCCACCCACCCUCUUUGAUCCCCUUUUUUUUUUAGCGUGACAGGGACGGGCCGCGCUGUUCUGCUCCAUGGUCAUCUACCAUGGGGUGGAGCAGCGCCACUGCCCAAAAUUGGCCGAACGGCCCUUAGGCAAUGCACCCGUAGGGAAUUCCCCUUUUUCGAUACGGUUGAUGAGGCCGGGGGUGUGCAUUCCCGGAAAGGCCUCAUCGCCGUGUCAGCCCGGACUUGUCCUAUGGCAAGUCCCUUUGGCCGCUAUCCGUAUGAUAGCGGUAGUAGCAAGUGUAGUUAAGGGUGGCGUGGCAGCCAAUGGGUUAGUUUUAAGUGUAUGCGU